AUUGAACGCUGGCGGCAGGCCUAACACAUGCAAGUCGAACGAGUGGCGGACGGGUGAGUAAUGUCUGGGAAACUGCCCGAUGGAGGGGGAUAACUACUGGAAACGGUAGCUAAUACCGCAUACCAUCGGAUGUGCCCAGAUGGGAUUAGCUUGUAGGUGAGGUAACGGCUCAACUAGGCGCAGAUCCCUAGCUGGUCUGAGAGGAGGACCAGCCACACUGGAAUGGAGACACGGUCCAGACUCCUACGGGAGGCAGCAGUGGGGAAGAUUGCCCAAUGGGAGCAAGCCUGAUGCAGCCAUGCCGAGUGUAUGAAGAAGGCCUUCGGGUUUUAAAGUACUUUCAGCGGGGAGGCGUUACCCGCAGAAGAAGCACCUGCUAACUCCGUGACAGCAGCCGCGGUAAUAC
rnacentral:rRNA from 1 species